rnacentral:rRNA from 1 species
UACGUAGGGACCAAGCGUUGUUCGGAUUUACUGGGCGUAAAGGGCGCGUAGGCGGCGUGUUAAGUCACUUGUGAAAUCUCUAAGCUUAACUUAGAACGGUCAAGUGAUACUGACGUGCUAGAGUGCAGAAGGGGCAACCGGAAUUCUUGGUGUAGCGGUGAAAUGCGUAGAUAUCAAGAGGAACACCUGAGGCGAAGGCGGUUGCUAGGCUGACACGUGACGCUGAGGCGCGAAAGCCAGGGAGCGAACGGG